rnacentral:tRNA from 1 species
AGCUAUAGAAUUAAUUUUAAUAAUUUUUUAUGAUUAUAUUAAAUUAUGAAAUAAAUAAAUAAAUAUUAAUG